CCUACGGGAGGCAGCAGUGGGGAAUAUUGCACAAUGGGGGAAACCCUGAUGCAGCGACGCCGCGUGAGUGAAGAAGUAUUUCGGUAUUUAAAGCUCUAUCAGCAGGGGAGAAAAUGACGGUACCUGAUUAAGAAGCCCCGGCUAACUACGUGCCAGCAGCCGCGGUAAUAAGGAGGGGGCAAGCGUUAUCCGGAUUUACGGGGUGUAAAGGGAGCGUAGAGGGCAGCACAAGUCUGGAGUGAAAUGCCUGGGCUUAACCCCGGAACUGCUUUGGAAACUGUGCAGCUAGAGUGCAGGAGAGGUAAGUGGAAUUCCUAGUGUAGCGGUGAAAUGCGUAGAUAUUAGGAGGAACACCAGUGGCGAAGGCGGCUUACUGGACUGUAACUGACGUUGAGGCUCGAAAGCGUGGGGAGCAAACAGGAUUAGAUACCCUGGUAGUC
rnacentral:rRNA from 1 species